UAGGGAAUAUUGGACAAUGGGGGCAACCCUGAUCCAGCCAUGCCGCGUGAGUGAAGAAGGCCCUCGGGUUGUAAAGCUCUUUUGUCCGGAAAGAAAAGCAUUCGGUGAAUACCCGGAUGUUCUGACGGUACCGGAAGAAUAAGCACCGGCUAACUCCGUGCCAGCAGCCGCGGUAAUACGGAGGGUGCAAGCGUUAUCCGGAUUCACUGGGUUUAGAGGGUGCGUAGGUGGGCAGGUAAGUCAGUGGUGAAAUCUCCGGGCUUAACCCGGAAACUGCCGUUGAUACUAUUUGUCUUGAAUAUUGUGGAGGUAAGCGGAAUAUGUCAUGUAGCGGUGAAAUGCUUAGAUAUGACAUAGAACACCAAUCGCGAAGGCAGCUUACUACACAAUCAUUGACGCUGAGGCACGAAAGCGUGGGGAUCAAACA
rnacentral:rRNA from 1 species